GACGAACGCUGGCGGCGUGCUUAACACAUGCAAGUCGAACGAUGAAACCUAGCUUGCUAGGUCGAUUAGUGGCGAACGGGUGAGUAACACGUGACCAACCUGCCCCUUUCUCUGGGAUAACGCUCCGAAAGGAGUGCUAAUACCGGAUACUCACAUCGAGGCACAUGCCUUGGUGUGGAAAGUUUUUCGGAAAGGGAUGGAGUCGCGGCCUAUCAGCUGGUUGGUGAGGUAAAGGCUCACCAAGCCGACGACGGGUAGCCGGCCUGAGAGGGCGACGGGCCACACUGGGACUGAGACACGGCCCAGACUCCUACGGGAGGCAGCAGUGGGGAAUAUUGCACAAUGGGCGCAAGCCUGAUGCAGCGACGCCGCGUGAGGGAUGAAGGUCUUCGGAUUGUAAACCUCUUUCAGUAGGGACGCAGCGAAAGUGACGGUACCUAAAGAAGAAGCACCGGCUAACUACGUGCCAGCCGCCGCCGUAA
rnacentral:rRNA from 1 species